GAUGAACGCUGGCGGCGUGCCUAAUACAUGCAAGUCGAGCGAACAGAUGAGAAGCUUGCUUCUCUGAUGUUAGCGGCGGACGGGUGAGUAACACGUGGGUAACCUACCUAUAAGACUGGGAUAACUCCGGGAAACCGGGGCUAAUACCGGAUAAUAUUUUGAACCGCAUGGUUCAAUAGUGAAAGACGGUUUCGGCUGUCACUUAUAGAUGGACCCGCGCCGUAUUAGCUAGUUGGUAAGGUAAUGGCUUACCAAGGCGACGAUACGUAGCCGACCUGAGAGGGUGAUCGGCCACACUGGAACUGAGACACGGUCCAGACUCCUACGGGAGGCAGCAGUAGGGAAUCUUCCGCAAUGGGCGAAAGCCUGACGGAGCAACGCCGCGUGAGUGAUGAAGGUCUUCGGAUCGUAAAACUCUGUUGUUAGGGAAGAACAAAUUUGUUAGUAACUGAACAAGUCUUGACGGUACCUAACCAGAAAGCCACGGCUAACUACGUGCCAGCAGCCGCGGUAAUACGUAGGUGGCAAGCGUUAUCCGGAAUUAUUGGGCGUAAAGCGCGCGUAGGCGGUUUCUUAAGUCUGAUGUGAAAGCCCACGGCUCAACCGUGGAGGGUCAUUGGAAACUGGGAAACUUGAGUGCAGAAGAGGAGAGUGGAAUUCCAUGUGUAGCGGUGAAAUGCGCAGAGAUAUGGAGGAACACCAGUGGCGAAGGCGGCUCUCUGGUCUGUAACUGACGCUGAUGUGCGAAAGCGUGGGGAUCAAACAGGAUUAGAUACCCUGGUAGUCCACGCCGUAAACGAUGAGUGCUAAGUGUUAGGGGGUUUCCGCCCCUUAGUGCUGCAGCUAACGCAUUAAGCACUCCGCCUGGGGAGUACGACCGCAAGGUUGAAACUCAAAGGAAUUGACGGGGACCCGCACAAGCGGUGGAGCAUGUGGUUUAAUUCGAAGCAACGCGAAGAACCUUACCAAAUCUUGACAUCCUUUGACCGCUCUAGAGAUAGAGUCUUCCCCUUCGGGGGACAAAGUGACAGGUGGUGCAUGGUUGUCGUCAGCUCGUGUCGUGAGAUGUUGGGUUAAGUCCCGCAACGAGCGCAACCCUUAAGCUUAGUUGCCAUCAUUAAGUUGGGCACUCUAGGUUGGCUGCCGGUGACAAACCGGAGGAAGGUGGGGAUGACGUCAAAUCAUCAUGCCCCUUAUGAUUUGGGCUACACACGUGCUACAAUGGAUAAUACAAAGGGCAGCGAAUCCGCGAGGCCAAGCAAAUCCCAUAAAAUUAUUCUCAGUUCGGAUUGUAGUCUGCAACUCGACUACAUGAAGCUGGAAUCGCUAGUAAUCGUAGAUCAGCAUGCUACGGUGAAUACGUUCCCGGGUCU
rnacentral:rRNA from 1 species